rnacentral:rRNA from 1 species
GAAAUUCUUUGAAACGCACAUUGCGCCCAUUAGUAUUCUAGUGGGCAUCGCCUGUUCGAGCGUCAUUUCAACCCUCAAGCCC